GACUACUUGCUCCCUACAACUUAAUUUGAUGAAGUGUUGUAUGGAGC
rfam:Enterococcus phoeniculicola ATCC BAA-412 genomic scaffold acvKl-supercont1.7, whole genome shotgun sequence.